UAAAUGGCCAUACUCCCAUAUUGUGCAUGC
rnacentral:piRNA from 1 species